UGGAGAUGAGGUCACUGUAAGAUCAGCCUGACGUGUUUUUCUUUAGUUUUUAUGAUGAGAGCUUUCAAACAUACACAAAGUCAACGGAGUGGCUGAAGGUAGCCCCACGCACCCAUCACCAGCUUCCACGAGACUGGAAGACUCCUCUUCAGAGAGGGAAAAGUAAACUCAUAAAAGGGAGUGAUGUUGUUGGACGCGGCCUGCGGAGACGAGAGAUGAGAAGACCCAGACCCAAGAGGGUGACGUGACUUGCUCAAGGUCAAGUGGUUGCCAAAGGGUAGAGGCAGGAUUUGAACCCAGGACUGACUCCGGAGAGUUUGCUCGUACCCGUGACUUCUCGUGACUUCUUUGAGCCCCCAUCAUCGGGCCAGCUGGCAUUUCCUUUUUGUUCUCUGACAGAUUUCCUUUGGACCAGGGAUGCUGUGUGACCUCACCUCAUUCGUUGAUGGGGCCACGUUUCUGCCCAGACUACUGGCUAUAGGUGCUCCUCGUCCACACCCCUGCGAACCCUCCUCGUUCCCCGAGGUGCCACCCAAGCGCCUCUCCCUCUCCUCCACCCUGUCUCGUCUCCUCCUGAAAAGAAACCACGAAUGUUCCAGCCCUCCGCAUGCCGUCCCUCCCCCGUGUUUCUGUCUCGCCACACAGCCGAGCCUUCCCCAACGUGUGGUUUCGUGUGUGCCUGAAUCUCAUCCCCCAGACGUGCUGUUAGAUUAUUGGGAUAAAGACGGGCUCUUCUCA